UGUGUGUGUGCUAUUUUCUCGACAAGCAACAAUGAUAAAGCAUCCUAAUAAUUUCAUAGUUAAAUGACUAAACAAUAUAUUUUUUCAUCAUCUGUAAAAUGUAAAUGACUAAUAUCUGGACUUGGUUUUGCACUGGUGGUACAAUAACUUGGCGUCUGACCUGUUACAUUUGUCCAAGAUGCCACCACACUGUCGAAAGCGAGUGAGGAGUAUCGGGCAGAGAUUUCCAUGCUUCUGCGUGACGUUUCUCUCCAUGUUGAACAAGAAGGAAGGAAUGUCAUCAGUGACAUGCUAGACAAAGGGAAUAGAAUUCUACAAGAACAUCUGGAAACCUUUGUCCAUACAGGUCUUUGCCCAAACAGUUGCGGUAAGUGAGGCUCUUUUUAUUAUCUUGUUCAUUCAGCAAAGGCGUUAUGCUGUUUGUUUUCCCUAUACACGUGACAGACUACUUGUGAAUCUUGCUUCAAUAAGAGCAGAGCUCCAUAGGUAUUCAAAGCUGUCAUUUUUUAUGCCUGUUCUGUAAAAGUCUGGAUGUUUUCUUCCCUGUGUUUCUCUCCCACCCCCCACCAUGCAGGGUUGCUAAAUCAGAGAGUCAUAAACUGUGAGACCUGUGCCUCUCAGAUACGCACCUGCCCCUCUCCACUCGGCCGGGAUACCUGUGGCAAGCGCCACCUGGAAGCAGAGGAGGGAAGCUCUGCAGUAUUGGACUGCUCUUUGCCCUGGCACAACUUGGUGGAGGGAGACAAGUUGUACCAGUUCUCUCGGUACUCAAAUCCUGCCGCCACAUUUAUCGUGUUUACAGCCAGCGCUUCAUCAAGUGUGGUGCUGAAACAUAUAAACUUACAUGACAAAGGAUUGUACCAGUGCCAUUUACUGGACAGCAACAACAAGGUUUUGACCAGCUUGAAAUACCAACUGACUGUCAAACCUUCAGCCCCCACCACACCUGCGCCCACGCCUCCCACGAUUCCUCCUCAUGACAGCGGCAGCCUCCCUGAUGAGCCUCCCAAAGAAU